rnacentral:rRNA from 1 species
GAACGGGUGAGUAAUAUAUCGGAACGUACCCUGGAGUGGGGGAUAACGUAGCGAAAGUUACGCUAAUACCGCAUACGAUCUAAGGAUGAAAGUGGGGGAUCGCAAGACCUCAUGCUCCUGGAGCGGCCGAUAUCUGAUUAGCUAGUUGGUGGGGUAAAGGCCUACCAAGGCAUCGAUCAGUAGCUGGUCUGAGAGGACGACCAGCCACACUGGAACUGAGACACGGUCCAGACUCCUACGGGAGGCAGCAGUGGGGAAUUUUGGACAAUGGGCGCAAGCCUGAUCCAGCAAUGCCGCGUGAGUGAAGAAGGCCUUCGGGUUGUAAAGCUCUUUUGUCAGGGAAGAAACGGUAAUCUCUAAUAUAGAUUGCUAAUGACGGUACCUGAAGAAUAAGCACCGGCUAACUACGUGCCAGCAGCCGCGGUAAUACGUAGGGUGCAAGCGUUAAUCGGAAUUACUGGGCGUAAAGCGUGCGCAGGCGGUUAUGUAAGUCAGAUGUGAAAUCCCCGGGCUUAACCUGGGAAUGGCAUCUGAGACUGCAUGGCUAGAGUGUGUCCGAGGGGGGUAGAAAUUCCACGGUUGUAGCCAGGUGAAAAUGCGUAAGAGAUGUGGGAGGAAA